AUUGAACGCUGGCGGCAGGCUUAGCACAUGCAAGUCGAGCGGGGUGAUGGUGCUUGCACUAUCACUUAGCGGCGGACGGGUGAGUAAUGCUUAGGAAUCUGCCUAUUAGUGGGGGACAACAUUUCGAAAGGAAUGCUAAUACCGCAUACGUCCUACGGGAGAAAGCAGGGGAUCUUCGGACCUUGCGCUAAUAGAUGCGCCUAAGUCGGAUUAGCUAGUUGGUGGGGUAAAGGCCUACCAAGGCGACGAUCUGUAGCGGGUCUGAGAGGAUGAUCCGCCACACUGGGACUGAGACACGGCCCAGACUCCUACGGGAGGCAGCAGUGGGGAAUAUUGGACAAUGGGCGGAAGCCUGACCCAGCCAUGCCGCGUGUGUGAAGAAGGCCUUAUGGUUGUAAAGCACUUUAAGCGAGGAGGAGGCUACUUUAGUUAAUACCUAGAGAUAGUGGACGUUACUCGCAGAAUAAGCACCGGCUAGCUCUGUGCCAGCCGCCGCAGUAACAC
rnacentral:rRNA from 1 species